UACGGAGGGUGCAAGCGUUAUCCGGAUUCACUGGGUUUAAAGGGAGCGUAGGUGGGCUGGUAAGUCAGUGGUGAAAUCUCCGAGCUUAACUUGGAAACUGCCAUUGAUACUAUUAGUCUUGAAUAUUGUGGAGGUCAGCGGAAUAUGUCAUGUAGCGGUGAAAUGCUUAGAGAUGACAUAGAACACCAAUUGCGAAGGCAGCUGGCUACGCAUAUAUUGACACUGAGGCUCGAAAGCGUGGGGAUCAAACAGGG
rnacentral:rRNA from 1 species